AGUGAACGCUGGCGGCGUGCCUAAUACAUGCAAGUCGAACGGAGUGGCGCACGGGUGAGUAAUGUAUAGCUAAUCUGCCCUACACUAGAGGACAACAGUUGGAAACGACUGCUAAUACUCUAUAGUGUAGGAUGAGGCUAUAUUGUAUCAGCUAGUUGGUGAGGUAAUGGCUCACUAAGGCUAUGACGCAUAACUGGUCGGAGAGGAUGAUCAGUCAACAGGGAAGUGGGCAACGGUCCAGACGCCGACGGGAGGGAGGAGUAGGGAAUAUGGCUCCAGGGGGGGAACCCUGAAGCAGCAACGCCGCGAGGAGGAUGACACUUGUCGGAGCGUAAACUCCUUUUGUUAGGGAAGCGGUACCUAACGAAUAAGCACCGGCUAACUCCGUGCCAGCAGCCGCGGUAAUAC
rnacentral:rRNA from 1 species